rnacentral:rRNA from 1 species
ACGAACGCUGGCGGCGUGCUUAACACAUGCCAGUCGAACGGAAAGGCCCUGCUUGCAGGGUACUCGAGUGGCGAACGGGUGAGUAACACGUGGGUGAUCUGCCCUGCACUUCGGGAUAAGCCUGGGAAACUGGGUCUAAUACCGGAUAGGAGCCAUUUUUAGUGUGAUGGUUGGAAAGUUUUUUCGGUGUAGGAUGAGCUCGCGGCCUAUCAGCUUGUUGGUGGGGUAAUGGCCUACCAAGGCGGCGACGGGUAGCCGGCCUGAGAGGGUGGACGGCCACAUUGGGACUGAGAUACGGCCCAGACUCCUACGGGAGGCAGCAGUGGGGAAUAUUGCACAAUGGGCGCAAGCCUGAUGCAGCGACGCCGCGUGGGGGAUGACGGCCUUCGGUUGUAAACGCCUUUCGCUAGGGACGAAGCUUUUUGUGACGGUACCUAGAUAAGAAGCACCGGCUAACUACGUG